GGACUCUGGGACUGCUGAAUACCAUCUUCCCCUAGUCUAGCUACUGUGACUUUCUAGCUGUCUCUGACACUUCCUUAGACGUCUAAGACUUCUGUCCCCAGACCAUAACAGACUGAGGGAUACUGCAUAGCUGAGGCUGGCCUUGACCUCUGACCCUUUUACCUUUACCUUCCGAGCACUGGGAUUUCUGGCAUGUGACACCACACCCAGGAUGCUAUUCAGCACAGACGUGUGUCUCUACUGCUGUGUGCUGGAGCAGGUGGAAUCAGUCCCUGGGACCGUUGCACACAGCUUUCCCCAAUGGUGUCAUACAGGGAGCUGGAAAUCAACCAUUUGGUAGCAUUCAAACCACAUGUGCCAUAUACACCAUGAGAGCAGCACGCACCAGAGUUACCUUCCCUCCUGAGAACAGCACACCAGCACAGCCCUCAUCCUUCCCUUUGAGUGAGUGGCAGGGCCCCGUUGAGAUGGUGGCCACCCUAUGACCAGAGUGGACUGAGGAUCAAAUGAAGUUGAUGCCUUGGGAAGCAGAGGGGUCAGACAGAAAGACUGUGGCACUGGUGUGGCGGCUCUGUAAUCCCAGAACUCUGGAGUUGGAGGCAGGAGGCAGAACUCGGGAGUUUUAAGGCGGGUGCAUGUGUUCCAUGGUAUGUGUGUGGAGGUCAGAAGACCACCUUUGGCAGUCAGUUCUCUCCUUCCAUCAUGGAGGUCUUGAGGAUCGAAUUAAGGUCGUCAAGCUUGGUUGCAGGCUCCUUUACCCACUAAGCCAAGUUGCUGGUCCCAGAAUAAACAUUAAAC
rnacentral:lncRNA from 1 species